AAAGUACCUUUGAAUUUCAUGGUUUUUGGUUUAGAGAUGCCGCCAAUUGAGUUAAGAGAAAGCUCUAUAUUGGAGAAGUGAGCUUCAUCCCAGGUGACAGGAGGAUCAGUCUCAACGGUGACAUCCAUUUCGGCCAUCUGGCCUUCAUUCUCUGCGGAGAGGAUCAGUCUCAACGGUGACAUCCAUUUCGGCCAUCUGGCCUUCAUUCUCUGCGGGCUCGUCUUCGCUAGCAAUUAGGGCACGAAGGGCGCGAUUGGGGCAUUCGUGAAGGGGUGAGUAAGGCUGUUUGCACUUAAAGCAAAGGCCCC
rnacentral:lncRNA from 1 species